UGUUGUGUGGGGCUUGUGAUUGUUUUUAUUUUUCAGAUGACGAAGAGGCAGCUGGUGACUGGAGGAGUGACGUGUGCUUGUCCUUCAGAAGGAAGGGAAGAGGGAGACUCUCGGCCCCUUGAAAGCUAAAUGCCGAGGGAGGAGUCGUGCAGGGCGACGGAGGAGGGCCGAGGAUAGCGCUGUAAGCAGGUGGUGGUCAAGCUUGAACAUGGCAGUUGGAUCUGAUGGCGUCCAGGUGCCUUUCUGCUUGGAUUUUUGCAGGUGCCGCAAUCAGCCUUCAGAGGGGAGAUGACGCAUGGCGACGAGAGGUCCGAGAAGGUGAGGCGAUUGCGGUCAGGGCGGUGGUUCCGUACCAAGGUGUUGUGUGGCAAGCGGGUCGAAGCGUUUCUGUUUGGUUUUUUAGAUUGUGUGCGGCUGCCCUUGGGAGUGGAUGC